rnacentral:lncRNA from 10 species
GGGAGCUAAGAAAGUUCGAAUGAGGGGAGGAAGAAAGUCCCUGGUCAGCCCGGUAUAGUGACUCAAGCCUGUAAACCCAGCACUUUAGAAGGCUGAGGUGGGAGGAUUGUUUGAGCUCAGGAGUUUGAGAUCAGCCUGGGCAACCUAGCAAGACUCUGAUCUCUAUUAAAAAAAAGAAAGAAAAGAAAGCCUGGGCAGUGGCCUCAGUGAACCCUCGAGGAUGCUGUGAUCCUCUUGGUGACGUCCCCAGCCUCUGCUUCAGGAUGACAGCAUGGUCUCCUGCACCAUAGCUCGGUCUGAAAUUUUCGGUUUUUCUUUCAAGUUCCCCUUUUUCAGUCUUCAAGGGGGAUGGAGGAGGUGGCCUGAAUAAGACAUAAAUGAAAGAGGAAGUGUCUCAGCACCAACCAAACGUAAAACAGCGACAGCGACCCACUUAGCUUGUGACCUCUACGGAAAUACUGAAGACGUCCUCUGUGUCCUUUUAGACUUUCUGGGGGAGGGGACAGCUGCUGCCCAGAAGCAAGCAGCUUCCUUUUGGCCAGGUCAGUGCAGGGAACCAACAAAGACAGGGACC